CAGUAAGCCAGGAAGGCAGUUCUCACCAGGACCCCAUUAUCCUGCCACUUUGAUCUCAGACUUCCAGCCUCCAGAAUUCAAUUCUCUGGCGCUAGCUGGGUGUCCUACAAUUCAGCUCAAUUCUGACACUGCCUACCUGAAGAUAGCAUCAUAUUCCACAGAUACAACAAAGAAAGUUAAAAGACAAACCACAAAUGGAAAGAAGAUAUUUACAACAUACAAAAUAGACAAAUCAUUAUUUACAGAACAUUUAAGGAAUGUCUACUACCAAUACAAAAAGAUAAUCCAAUGGAAAAACGGACAAGUAAUGAACAGGUAAUUUAUAGAAGAGGAAAUCUGAGUUAUGAAUAAACAUAUGAAAGGAUUCUUGAUCUCAGAAGUAAACAUGGGAGUACACAUUAAAGUAACAAUGAAUGUCAUUUCACAGCUAUUUGAUUGGCAAAAAUUAAAUACUGAGUGUGGGUGAGAAUAUGGAGGAAGAGAAGAGAAACUGUAUUACCCUGCUAGGAGGAGUGCAAAUUGACAUAAAACUUUGGAGGUGAGUUUGAUUGUAUCUAGUAAAGCAAAAGAUUUUUA
rnacentral:lncRNA from 1 species